GAGGAAGAGACACACAAGGAGAGACAGAGAGACCUAGACAGAGAGACAGGGCGCGGGGGGUGUGGGGGCCAGAGAGACCUAAAGAGAGCGCGAGCCAGCCACAGAUGACAGAUGUGCACAGAGGCCAAGCGCUGACAUUUGAAAUUCCUUCAGGUCAAAGUGAGGUUGGAAUGGGAGUGUAAACGUGUGUUGCUAAGAUCUGGAAUUACUAAGAAGUGUUUUCUUAAAAAAAUAAGUAAAAGAGAGAAAAACGAAAAAAAAAAAAAAAUCCCUGGGAUCAGCCUCCUGGGCUUCUUUCUUGCUGGCAUCCCCUGUCAGGGUGGCAGUUCAGAUCAUCGGGCGCCCCAGAGCCGCAAUAGGCUUGCAAGGACCACGAGGAGGGGCGGGGGAAGUGCGUCACCAGCAAGCAGAGCAGACCUCAGCGGCAGCUUUGUGAGGACUUAGCUGGGACCUGGAAGCGUAUCCUCCUGUGUUUUUUCUGACUUCUUGGAAAAUAAGGAAUGCAAUUCUGCCACCAUGAUGGAAGGACUGAAAAAACGUACAAGGAAGGCCUUUGGAAUACGGAAGAAAGAAAAAGACACUGACUCUACAGGCUCGCCAGACCGAGAUGGAAUGCAGGGGAAAAAAAAGGCUCAGAAGACACAGCUUCUCCUCACCUCUUGCUUCUGGCUCAGAGCCCUCUCCUUAACUCUGUCUCAGCAGCCCAGCCCACACGAGCCACCCUACCAUAGCAAAGCAGAGUGUGCGCGGGAAGGAGGGAAGAAAGCUUCGAAGAAAAGCAAUGGGGCACCAAAUGGAUUUUAUGCAGAAAUCGAUUGGGAAAGAUAUAACUCACCUGAGCUAGAUGAAGAAGGUUACAGCAUCAGACCUGAGGAACCAGGCUCUACCAAAGGAAAGCACUUUUAUUCCUCAAGUGAAUCUGAAGAGGAAGAAGAGUCGCACAAGAAAUUCAACAUCAAGAUUAAACCCUUGCAAUCUAAGGACGUCCUGAAGAAUGCAGCGACGGUAGAUGAGCUGAAGGCUUCAAUAGGCAACAUCGCACUUUCCCCUUCGCCUGUGAGGAAAAGUCCGAGGCGCAGCCCGGGUGCAAUUAAAAGGAACUUAUCCAGUGAAGAAGUUGCAAGACCCAGGCGUUCCACCCCAACUCCAGAACUUACAAGCAAGAAGCCUCUGGAUGACACUCUGGCCCUUGCUCCCCUCUUUGGUCCACCAUUAGAGUCAGCUUUUGAUGAGCAGAAGACGGAAGUUCUUUUAGAUCAGCCUGAGAUAUGGGGUUCAGGCCAACCGAUGAACCCAAGUACGGAGUCGCCAGAGCUAGCAAGACCUUUCCCCACUGGAACACCUCCACCUCUGCCUCCAAAAACUGUACCAGCCACUCCGCCUCGAACAGGCUCCCCCUUAACAGUUGCAACAGGAAAUGACCAGGCAGCCACAGAGGCCAAAAUUGAGAAACUACCAUCCAUCAGUGACCUGGACAGCAUUUUUGGGCCAGUGUUGUCGCCCAAGUCUGUUGCUGUUAAUACUGAAGAGAAGUGGGUCCAUUUUUCUGAUGCAUCCCCGGAACAUGUUACUCCAGAGUUGACUCCAAGGGAACAGGUGGUGACCCCACCAGCUGCAUCAGACAUCCCAGCUGACUCCCCAGCUCCAGCCCCACCUGGCCCCACAGGCUCCGCAGGUCCCCCAGGGCCUCCUGGUCCUCGCCAUGUACCAUCUCCGCUCAAUUUAGAAGAAGUCCAGAAGAAAGUUGCUGAGCAGACCUUCAUUAAAGAUGAUUACUUAGAAACACUCUCAUCUCCUAAAGAGUGUGGGUUGGGACAGAGAGCAACUCCACCUCCCCCACCACCACCCACCUACAGGACUGUGGUCUCGUCCCCCGGACCUGGCUCGGGCAGUGGUACGGGGACCACCAGUGGUGCGUCUUCUCCUGCUCGACCAGCCACCCCCUUAGUUCCUUGCAGCACCACUCCGCCUCCACCUCCUCCCCGGCCUCCAUCCCGGCCAAAGCUACCUCCAGGAAAGCCUGGAGUUGGAGAUGUGUCCAGACCUUUUAGCCCACCCAUACACUCCUCCAGCCCUCCUCCGAUAGCACCCUUAGCCCGGGCUGAAAGCACUUCUUCAAUAUCGUCAACUAACUCACUGAGCGCAGCCACCACUCCCACAGUUGUGUCAGAAGAUGAUGUUUUUUAUGACAAACUGCCCUCGUUUGAAAGGCGCUGUGACACGCCUGCAGGUUCCUCCCGGGGGCCCAGUCCCCUAACUAUGGGGGCCCAGGACACCCUCCCGGUCGCAGCAGCUUUCACAGAAACUGUCAACGCCUACUUCAAAGGAGCAGAUCCAAGCAAGUGCAUUGUUAAGAUCACGGGAGAAAUGGUGUUGUCCUUCCCUGCUGGUAUCACCAGACACUUUGCCAACAACCCAUCCCCAGCAGCUCUGACUUUCCGGGUGGUAAAUUCCAGCAGGUUAGAGCACGUCCUGCCGAACCCCCAACUUCUCUGCUGUGAUAAUACACAAAAUGAUGCCAAUACCAAGGAAUUCUGGGUAAACAUGCCAAAUUUGAUGACUCACCUAAAGAAAGUCUCUGAACAAAAACCCCAGGCUACAUACUAUAAUGUGGACAUGCUCAAAUAUCAGGUGUCUGCCCAGGGCAUUCAGUCCACACCUCUGAACUUGGCGGUGAACUGGCGCUGUGAGCCUGCGAGCACUGACCUGCGCAUAGACUAUAAGUACAACACGGAUGCCAUGUCCACUGCAGUGGCCCUCAACAACGUGCAGUUCCUGGUCCCCAUAGACGGAGGAGUGACCAAGCUUCAGGCUGUGCUUCCUCCAGCAGUCUGGAAUGCUGAACAACAAAGAAUAUUAUGGAAGAUUCCCGAUAUCUCCCAGAAGUCAGAAAAUGGAGGUAAUUGUAGUCACGGGCUUAAAUCUGACAUAACUUACAGGUAUUGGCCAACUAUGAACCCAAAGCCACGUACCCCUAGAAGCUUUGUUAGUCUUUCUUUACUUACUAACAUCUAUCAAAGCAAGUUGGCUUUUAGGGGACCUUUCUCUCUCCUUUCCCACCAAGCCCUCAACUCCCACGUAGACCACGGCAUGAGUCCGCCCUGUGUCAUGUCCCCGUAGAUGCUUUUCUUUCUCCCUCUGAUGUAAAUCACAGGCUGGAAAGGAUGUAGCCAUCCUUGUAGCACGUCACAAAUUUCAAAGUACCGCUCUGCUGACGUGCCCCGACCAGCUGCUCAGGCUCCUCAAAGAUGCUUUGCUCACUCUCAUUUUGCAAACAAAGAAUACGCUGCUUCCUCGGCUGCCCAGUCUUGCACAGUUCACCUCAAGUGUGACUUCAAAGUUGCAUGCAGAGUGCUGCCAACUGCUGUCUUGCGGUAACGCUCUUCUUUUAAAGGCGUAGGUUCUUUACUGGCGAGAUUUCAGUUAUCCGAAGGCCCGAGCAAACCUUCCCCGCUGGUUGUGCAGUUCACGAGUGAAGGAAGUACUCUCUCUGGCUGUGACAUUGAACUUGUUGGAGCAGGCUACCGGUUUUCACUCAUUAAGAAGAGGUUUGCUGCAGGAAAGUACUUGGCAGAUAACUAAUAAAAGGUCAUGCAAGGAUUUGGAAGAUCCAUGCCCUGGAGAACUGUUGUUUGAGAGACAUGUUUUAAUCUGGCUUGAUGAACACAAACCGAUGUCCGUACUUGGGGUCUGUCAGCUGGAAAGUCCCGGCAUUCAGCAGUGACUUCCGGCACCCAGUACUGUGCUGCUCAGUUCUGCAGUAUUUACUUAUAGGUGUAAUAUUUGUUAAUGGUUUUAAAAUGUAAUUAUUGUAUUUGUAAACUGUACCUUCAUUCCAGUAAGGCAGUUAGACACUUGGGUUUUAGCAUUUUCCAUUCCUGAAACGGAUGUAAUAAUUUAAUAGUAGUACUGUUGAACGGCACAAUGCUUACAGAGAUACAGCGCAUUUUGUCAAUAUAUAAAAUUUAAAUAUAAUGUUGAUAGUUAUCAUAAAGGGGGUGCCACACAUCGAGAACCUUAAACAGAACCAGAAACAAAACACCCAGCUAACUUUCCUUCACUCUUUACUAUGUUUCCCUCUAGUGCUAAAGAAAACUUCUAGCUUCAGUUUAGUGGGUUAAAUUCACAAACUAUUUCAGAGGAAAAAAAAUUCUAAAGUUACAGCCUAUUCAAAGAGAAACAUUAAUUACCACUUUUUAAAGAGCUUUUUUUUCAAACUGCAAAUUUCAUAAAAAUGCAAACUGUGUAAACAGGGCCUCUUAUUUUUAUAACUUGUGUAAAAAGGGAAAAGCAAUUCAUAUUUAAAGUUUAAGUAUAUUAAAUUAUAUCCAAGAGGGCAGAGGAUGCUGAAGUCUGACCUGACCCCAGCCCCUUCUGUGCCGUUUAGCAAAUGUGGAGAUUGCUAAGUCAUCGCAUUAAAGCCAACAUGAUUUUUAAAGUUUGAGACUUUAUGUAGCUGAACUGGUUAAAACUUUUGCACAAUUGCUCGGGACACAGGGGCCUCUCUCGUCCAGCAUCCAGGGGUGGGUACCUUGUUUCUUCUUUACUCAUGAGAAUCAAAACACAGAGAAGGAUGGAGGAAAACAAAUAGUCCCCUGGUCCAUCCAAAAGGAGAAUUCUAAACUUAUCAUUUACAUCUUUGGGGGGAAGGAAGAAAUAAACUUUAUAAAUGAAAUUCUAUUCACCUUGUUAUGAAUAUUUUUGAAUGAUUUUAAGAUUCAUCAUAUACAACUGUGAAUCUCUGCCGCUCUUGGGGAAUUGAAAGCAGAGUCGGGACAGUGGCUUUGAACAUAGUAAAUGCCACAGUUCUGGGAGUGGGGGACGGUGUCUGCCCCACCGGAGGGCAAUCAAAGCAGUGUCGUGUGAGGCCUAAAGAAGAAGUCUUCCAGUAAACCACAAGUUAUUUUAAACAGAAAAGUUCCUGUUUGGGGCUCUCCCACUGAGUUGGCCUGUGUAGCAUUUGCUGCUGAAUCACAUUUUGUAUCCACUCAAAUCUGACAAGGAGUGGUCAACUCCUUUUCAAUUUUAGAAUCAAAUUAAAAAUUUUUUAAGUCUUACUUCAACAGUGAGAUUGUGGUUGGCAGUUGUUUCUAGUGAGCUCUGUAGAUUUAUCUAUGUUCUCUUCGAUCAACGCUUGCUACCAAAAGGAUGUCCAAGAGGAUUUUUACCUGCAAACAAUUCAUUUAUUUAAAAUAGGCUCCUGCCUAAUUCCCCAAAGCAGUCCGGCUUUGAAGGUUUUUUGAACAAACUAAUUUGUUGACCAAAAAGUUUGGCUUUGAAACCGAAAUAGAGAAAUAAAAUGUAAAUUUUAAAUCUAAUAGAACAAGUGGAAAUGAAAACACUUAAACCAAUGGAGAGUAUGAAGCAGAAAAAAAAAAAUGAAGCUGAUCUAAAAUGUGAUUAUACAAUGUUUUUAAGUAGUCAGUUCAUGGAAAAAUAUUGAAUAUUAACACAAAGCAUAUUAAAAAUAUGUAAAUAUUACUGUUUCUCAUGUCUUUCUCUUUAUAUCUUAUUUUGUGAAGUUUUAGAAUGAAUUGGUCAUUAAGUAUGCAGUGUUUCUUUCCAAAGAAUAAUUUUGUUGAUAUUGUAAAAAUGUAAUUAAAGAUAGAGAUUUGAGUAGUCUCUAACAUUAUUCAAAUGUUUCCAGGAACCAAAUUGGAAAGUAUGAAGAAAUCUUGUAAUCCCUUAAUUGACUAUUGUGAAAUGAAACGACAGUUGGUGAUCUCAAAAUUAAGACGUGAAAAUUCAGAGCUUCAGUGGGGAAUGGGUGGUUCCUUCCAGUUCAGAUAACAACAGUUGCUCAUUUCAGAGAUGGAGAUGUUGGUGCUGUUUGGUUUUAAGCUUGUGCAAUUUCAUCUUCUGGUGAAGCUCUGUGUGCAGCACUAUAGGAUAAAAAUUCAUAUUCUGAGACAAGGUCCAAGACUAGGCAGACCAGGUCUCAGUUAUCAGUGUCAAUCGGGUCAGGUUCCCUUUUGUCCAAACAAAAUGGGUUAGCUCAUAGACAGAUGGUUGGCAGGACAGUAAGCUAAAUUAAGACAAUUAAGAGCAAUUUCCUAAACACUCUGACUUUUAAGGCUGAUAGAAAGUAUGCAUGUUUUAUUUUGGUGACAUGGAAAGUAUGUAUUCCUCUUCAAACCAAUCCCAUAUUUUUAUGAAAUUUUCCAAAAUAAAUUCCUGUUUAAACUAGUUUCCAUUUUAUCAUAAUGGGGACUUGCCACUGCUUAUCUGAAACUCUCUGAGAUCCACCGACGGCUAAAAGGAGCGUUCCCUGUAUGCCAUUUGGGACGCCGCUUGCCUCGAAAGCCUGUUCCUGUGCAAAUGGUGACUGGAAAGUCCAAGAGCAGAUGCUUGUGCAUUUCGGCAGUGUGUAUACUUCUCCCCUGUCUCAGUCUGCAAAGUAUCCGAGCCGUCCUCACACACAUUUGCACCUUUAAUUCUUCUUUUGAAGGAAGCAAAUCUACCUUUGCUCUGCCAGCGAUACCUGAUGGGCAAACGCAGAUGUGCCCCUGCCUUCUUCUCACCUUUAUGGUGAGAGUGGAUCCAUAUGCAAUUUUCACAUUUUCCUUAAUGGGACUUCUAAUUUUUUUUUUCUAACAAGCUUGUGCCUAGAACCCUAUAUAGCAGAAUGUUGCCAAGCAGGGAAGGGGCUUCUCCAGACCCUGAAACAUUGCAUCACAAUAUGUAAAUGAUUCCAAAGUAACUUCUAACUCUGAAGACGUACACUUCUACUUAACCCAGAUAAACUACCUUCUGAGACUCUAAGAACAUGUGUAAUAAUAGUGGUUAGCUGCUGUACAAUAAAAAAUAGCAAAAUGGCUGUACAGUACGGUGUACUGUGAGCCCUCCUCGGCUGCCAGACACUGCAGAUAUCACUGCAUUCUACCUUAGACUCCAAAAUGGCAAAAAGCCUUUUCAGUCUGUGUUUUCCCAGCGAUGGUAUUGAGGCUUGGGUUGAUUCAUUUCCCCCAAAGUGUCAUCACAGCUAGUAAUGACCUCAAUUAUCCUGACAAUAGAAUGAGUACCUUGCUGUUUCAUCUGGUUCCCUUUGAUAAAACCAUCAACUUGAAUGUCAAGACAAGUGGCACUCUGUAAAGUCUGCAUUGAAAGUGUUAAAGAGAAACUUGAUAAGAUAAUCAUUUUAAAAGAACGGAUGUUUCUCUUCAAAGGAUGAACUGUGAGACCCCUUGUUUCCAACCAAUCAUAGUAAUGAUUUAAAUUGAGGCCCUUUUACAUUCAGAACCUAGCCAGACUGCAGUGAGUACCAGCAAGUCUUCAUCAAUCUCUAGGGAUAAAACUUGGGAAUCUAUACAUUGAGAAGUUCCCAAAAGCUGAGCAUUGUGGCCCUAAUAAUUCUCUAGAGCACUUUUUACUGCUCACAUUAUAGUGGACUUAAGCAUUUAAUUUCUACGAUAAAUGCUAUUUUUCUAAUGUUUUCUCCCAAUUCAGUCCAAUUAAUAGUAGCUCCUGGCUUGCAAGACACACUCAGACAGUAAACCUGGAAACUGACUUUAUUUCACAAACUCUUGGCUUUAUAAACAUAGAUAAGCCUCACGCUGAGAAGAAUUUUACCAAUUUUUGCUUUGCUUUGUCUUUCCUUAAACGAAGUACAGGUUGCCAGAGAAAGCUGAAUGAUAGUAAUAUAUGCAAAUAUACACUAGAAAGAGAGAGAUUAGAGAGAGAGAAAGAGAGAGAAAGAAAAUAUGUUAGAGAUUUCUCUUCUCCCAAAGAGGAUGUAUUUUGCAAAAUCCCAGUCAAAUAUAUUUAUUUUGUCAUGUGACCUUUUUCUGUUGAAUUACUUCUAAAACCUAAAAUUGAGGGGUUUUUUAGUGGCAUCAGCGUGGGCCAGAAUAUAGCUUAGAAACUUAAUAUAAGGCAAUGUGAUGGUCCCAUGAUGCCCCCUCCUGACGUUUACCUUAACCAAUGAGUCAAAUUGUUAGUGUAAAUACUUAAAUCAAGCCAAGUGGCAUUGAUUAAGGAGACUCUUAUAACGAACCUCCACGAUCACUCUCUGAAUUGAUCUCAGCUUUAUUCGACUUGCCCCCCUCCUUGACCUUUUUGCUUGUGUUAUGUUGGUUUUGUUUCUUCGUUUGGCACACAGUGUAGAACACAACUCUCUCGCUUAUGAAUUACCUAUGGCUUCUCUCGUGUUUCAUGUUAAUCCGUAGACUGAGGAGGAGGAAUGAGACCAGACUGCUCUCUUUACAUCUUCAAAUAUUAAAAAGGAACAAACAAAAAGUACUGGCCUUCUUCACCCAUCACUGCUCUGGGGCUGUGCUAUCUAGAGUAAGCCAGAGACACAUUGUUAAUGUCCAACUGAAAUAACAUUCCUUCUUGAAACACUGUCAAUUCUUAUGAUCAGCCUUUUAGACUGGUCCCAUGUUUAGUUUCUGCCUUCUAUCCUAAAUAUGUGUAGUGCCGGGGGCAGGUGUGUGUGUGUGUGUGUGUGUGUGUGUGUGUGUGUGUGUGUGUCACAGAUUGUGGACAUGUAUCAUGGAUAUAAUAAUUUAUUCUCCAAACUGAACUUCUGUCUUCCUCCCUUUAUUCCCGGAGUACAUUUAGCCUGUGCUAAACACAUCUUUUGCCUCAUAAGAAAAAAGAGAUUUCAGUACAAAGCCAGUGCAGAUUAAAGUGACCCUUAAUGCUGUUUUAAAGAAAAAGUGGCAUAUUCGAUACUACAUCCACCAGUAUUUUCCAAAUCAUGUUUGAUUUAUUAGCACAAGCAAACAUUCAUUGUGUUCUGAAACAACGUGGUCCUGUGUCACAGCUGUCUCUCUUCAGAUAUGGGCAAUAACUUUCAAAGUCCUCAUGAAACUUAGAGUGUCCCUAAACUGGUCAGGGUCUUUUUAAGUAUAAGAGUAGCCCUUAAAAAGCUUUAGGAAACGCCCCGUCUAAUUAUAAUUCACAGCUCCAUCGAAGGAUAUGUAAAUCAAAUUAUAUAAGAAAGAUCAUUGUAGCUUUAAGGGAAUUUUGCCCAUUGGAAGUGAGUUGUUAUGUGUGCUCACUAAUAUCUUUCAGUGAGUUUUAAUUUUAUUUUCUAAAGAACUCUUAACCCCACGUGGAAAUUGUUUCACUUUUUAAAGAUUUGAAUCUCUGAUCAAUACUUCAAGCCCCCAUUGUUGAAAGGUUGAACAUCCUUGGAGUAAUUGACUCUAGUGAAGACUCUUUAGUUAUCGUGUCAGAAUCCUGUUAGAGCCAUGCUGAUAGUUUUACGUAACUUUUGGACUGCUAUGAAAACAUUCUCGUUAGAGCCAAAUGCAGUGCACUGUUUUCUCAGCAUACACUCAGAGGACUAACCCUGAGGUAGGCUUCGGUUUUUGGUUUUGUUUUUUUUUUUUUUUUUUUGUUAUUGUUGUUGUUGGUUUUUUUUUGGGGGGGGGUUGGUUUUUUUUUCUUUUUUACUUUUUAAAAAAAAAUAAUCAUUUUUACAUAAAAUCAAAUUUAAAAGAUGUUUAUUUAAAAUUGUUUGUAGCAGACAGAAAUGACAUUUAUGUUUUCUGAACAUAAUUCAAAAACUUUAAUCCCCUCAGAGUCUGUGAGUUAUUACCUGAAAGACAAGCUACCCAUAAAUUUCCCGCUUCCUAGACUAAGCAUAUAUUAAUUCCACCUGACUCAGCCAACUUCAUUAUCUUAUUGGCAUCUUUUCUGGCAAAAUGAAUCUCAUGUAUUCGUCAUCACCUUAAGCUAGUUAAAAUAAUAAACUGCAAGACUGCCUCAGACCACCCAAUACCUGGUGUUUUUCUUCGGAGUGGCUGGGAUGACAUUUCUUAAAGCUGCAUUGACUCCACAGGUUGGUGUUUAAUUACUGCUUUUUAAAAUGAACAUGCAUGGAAGAGAUGGGUGCCUCUCCCUCUGUCUUCCUACCCCUUCCAUCCUCCUGCAUCCUCCUCCCAUCUCCCCCACACACACCCCCACCCCACUUGGCCCCUUAACUCAGUCAAAGGGACCUGGAUAAUUGCUGUUGAAUGAUCAUUUUGGAACCCAGCAGGAGCUGCAGCGGUAACACUAGAGCCCUCCCUACUAGCAGAGGAGGAAUUUCCAGGGCUGAUUUUAGGCUGUUUGAACACUAUUGUGUUUCAAAUGAAAAGGUUUUCUCAUUAGUUUUUCCCUUGUGUAGGGCAAAACCUCUGAAUGAAAUGACCAGUUUGAAUCAUCAGUUCCUAACAAGUGGCAGUGUAAGCCAUUUGGGUUUUACUGUUAACAAUAAGAAACUAAGAAAGGCAUCACAGAGAAAUGUUGCUGUGUUUCUAACUUAGAGUUAUGCAAUCCAUCGGGUCAGUGAAGAUGUUUAUCAGUGUGUACUUUGACCUGGUAGUGGCCUUUAUUUCAGAUUAUCCGUGACCCACGUAGCAAUGUACACUGACUCUCUGUAUAAUCCUCUGCUACAUGUACCAUCGCACAAAACAUCUCGGGCAUCAAAUAUUCACAGAAGAAACGGUGUGUUCAAAUAUUCAAGUAUAUUUAAAUUUUAGUCAGAAAGUCAGUGCCUCGUCUUUCUUCCCUCCUGCUCAUUUCAACAGUGUGUGACUUACUGGCCCAGUAUGGCUUACUGCUUCCUGUGAGCUCAGCCCGGCAGCAGCAGAGGCUUGCUCCCUCUGACGACCCACCGCUAUGAGCUCUCUACAGGGCAAGCAGGACAGAAAUGCGGCUGAACUGAUUGAAGAUAAUAAUCAUGAUACCAUCUCCAUAUCACUCACCUUAUGAGUUAGUAAAAGUGUGGAUAUCAUUUUUUGUAACUGGUGAUUUUUAUAAAUGUCCUUGCCUUCAUAGUCCUUCCAGUCACCCAUCUCACAAAAUCUUGAAUAUGCAAUUAUUCUUCAUGACACAUUACUGCAAAUAGGGUUCCCAUUUGAAAAUGCAGUUUAAUGUAAGUUGUUAUUGAAUUGUGAUUUUUUUUUCCUGGAAAAUAAAUGGAAAAAAUAUGAAAAUAAA